rnacentral:rRNA from 1 species
UACGGAGGGGGCUAGCGUUGUUCGGAAUUACUGGGCGUAAAGCGCACGUAGGCGGCUUUGCAAGUUAGAGGUGAAAGCCCGGGGCUCAACUCCGGAAUUUGCCUUUAAAACUGCAUCGCUAGAAUUGUGGAGAGGUAAGUGGGAAUUCCGAGUGUAGAGGUGAAAUUCGUAGAUAUUCGGAAGAACACCAGUGGCGAAGGCGACUUACUGGACACAUAUUGACGCUGAGGUGCGAAAGCGUGGGGAGCAAACAGG